GCUCUUACCUGGGACAGGAGUACCGUGAUCAGAAGGCGGGUUUUCCAGGGCGAGGCCCCAUUGCACUCCGGGGGCGCGACCCCUGCGAUUAAACCCAAAAGGGUUAACUCGGUGCCAAUUUUUUUGGAGCGGGGGGGCCGUUUUGCGCUAUCCCCCC